rnacentral:lncRNA from 1 species
ACUCUUUUUAAUUAGCAAAAUUAUUCGAUUAAAUUGGUUAAAUCAAUUAAUUAGGCUAAUUAGAGUUAAUUAUCAAGAAUAUUUAAUUAAAAAUUAAUUCAAUUGAUUAAUCAAGUUAAUUAAAUUUAAUUAGCAAAAGUAACUAAAAUAAUAUUUAAUCAAUUAAUUUUUACUAACUAAAAUAAAUAAAUAAAGAUUAAUUGAGUUUUUGAAAAUAAAAUUAAAAUUAAAAUAGAUUUGAAAAAAUAAAAGGAAAGAAAUGGGGGUAGAAGUGCAAUAGAGAAAAAAUAAGCUAGCAAAAAUAAAAGAAAUGUUGUCAAAAGGGUGACCCAAGGCCCACACAAAAAAUAGUAAAAAGAAUAAGGAAAAGCAAAAUGGG